ACGCUCGACACCUACGGGAGCAGCAGUGGGGAAUAUUGCACAAUGGAGGAAACUCUGAUGCAGCGAUGCCGCGUGAGGGAAGAAGGUUUUCGGAUUGUAAACCUCUGUCUUUGGGGACGAUAAUGACGGUACCCAAGGAGGAAGCUCCGGCUAACUACGUGCCGGCAGCAGCGGUAAUCUGAGCGGGCUGGCAAGGC
rnacentral:rRNA from 1 species